AGAUUUUGCAGAUCAGAGACCGAAGACUAAGCACAGACUUGACCUCAACAUCAUUUCAUCCUUCAGGUACAUGGGCUUUUUGCAAGGUUGGGCUUGCAACAUAUGGAUCAUCAUAAAAGAAGGCUCCUUGAACACCUUGAUGUCUUGGGCUCCUAUUAAUAGGCCUCCAAAACAUGAUAAUGAAUCCUCAAAAAUACUAAGCUUGCACUUAUAGAUUUGGACCUUAUUGAACACAUGUAGACUUGCUUCUAAAUUGAUUUAAGCUCCUCUAAGCACACAAAUGUCAACCCAUAAGACCCCAGAAUCUGAUCUCAAUGCCCCAGUUGCUUUAAGAAGACAUGCACUAUUCAUAGCUUUUAAAUUCAGCAACCCUAAACCCCCUACCUCCUUUGGCUGAUACAUACAUUUCCAACUUACUAAAUGCAUUUUCCUUUCCUCGGUCUUAUGGCCUCAAAUAAAAGCUCUCUAAAUAUUUUCAAACUUAUCAUAAGUGGCUACAGGAAGCUGGGCAACCAUCAUCAGAUAUAUUGGAAUAAAUCUAAUAACAAACUUAGCUAAGGUAAUUCUUCCUACCAUACUUAAACAUUUUGCUUUCUAACCUGAUAGUCUUCUCUUUACUUUCUCUAAUACAAAAUCAAAACUCCUCUUCUUAGAACGCCCAUAAUUAAUAGGCAUUCUAAAGUAUUUGCCAAAUUCCUCAACUUCUUGAAACCUGGACAUCUCAAAUAAAUCCUCUUUAACUUUUCUAUCAGUAUUAUUUGGGAAUAAAAUAGUAGACUUCUCAAAACUAACUUUUUACCUUGACAUACAACAAAAAUCCUCCAAAUACUCUAAAACACAUCUCAUUUGUGAAACUGUGGCCUCUCUAAAAAGUAACAAAUCAUUAGCAAACAUUAAAUGUGAAACUUCAGGUCCAUCCCUUCCAACUUUAAAAGCUUUCCAUUGCCCACUAACUCUAGCAUCAUUAAUUCUAUGACCCAAUUUCUCCAUAAUCAAAACAAACAAAUAAGGUGAGAGUGGAUCACCUUGUCUAAUUCCCCUAGAAGGAGAAAAGAACUCAAAGCAACAUCCAUUCCACAAAACACUUGUUGAGAUAGACCACACACAUUUCAUAAUAACCUCAAUAAGAGUCUCACCAAAACCAGCUUCCUUUAACAUAUCUUCAAUACAUGACCACCUAACCCUAUCAUAGGCCUUUUUAAUAUCAAUCUUAAUGGCAAAGAAACUCUUCCUACUAUGCAAAAUUUCAUGAGCAAUAACUAAGUUCUCCUGAAUGUGACAACCAGGUAUAAAGCUAACUUGAUUAGGAGAAACCAAGCAAAUAAGUAAGUGCUUUAACCUAUUAACAAUCAACUUAGGAAUACACUCGUAAAUGACAUUACAUAGUCCAAUUGGCCUCAUCUGCCUCAUACUUUCAGGUUUAUCAACUUUAGGAAUCAAUGCCAAAAGAGUACUAUUAAUUCUACUCAUAUUAUCAUCCCCUGCAUAUAUAUUCCUCACCACCUUGCACACAUCCUCUCCAAUAUCAUUCCAGAAUCUAUGAUAAAAAAGAGUAGGAAAUCCAUCACUACCAAGUGCUUUACAUGCACCAAUAGAGAACAUAGCUCUCUUUAUUUCAUUAUUUAUAAUAGGCCUCUCUAAAAAAAAGCCUUUUCUGAUUAGAAAUUCUGUCAAAAGUAGUCAGAGUAAUAACAACUCUUUGUUGCUCCUCCUCAUCUGAAAAGAGCUUCUUAUAAAAAUCUAAUGCCAUUCUACAGAGUUCUUCCUGAUUGUCAACCUAUUGCUUAUAAUCAUUUUUCAACAUUUUAACUCUAUUCCUCCCAAGCCUUCUAAUUACUUUUAAAUGAUAAUAUCUUGUGUUUCAGUCUCCAUCCAUAAUCCAUUAAGCCUGUGACUUUUGAAACCAUAGAAUCACUUCUUGCUUAAGGACAUUAGAAAGUUCAUCUUGUAGCUUUCUCUCAAGAUUAAGGAGAUGUUGAUAAGGUCUAGCAAGACUACCAAUCUUUCUUUAAACCCUAUCCAAAUGACGUAACAAACUCCUUUUUUUACCUUUAAUAUUUCUAAACACUUCCUUGUUCCAUUUCUAUAAUUUAUCCCUCAUAUUCAUAAGACCCUCACAAGCAUCUUCACCUUUUCUCCAACUCCUUCUGACAACCAUUAAAAUCAUCAUGAAAUGUCCAGGCUGCCUCAAGUCUAAAAGGCCUUCCUCUUCGACAAAUAUCAUUUUCAACUAAAGACACCAAUAAUGGAUUAUCAUCAGAACAAUCAAUACGAGGCAAAAUAGUAAUACUAGCAUCUUGAAAUCAACUUCUCCAAUUUGCAUUACAUAAAUCUCGAUCCAACCUUUCAAAGAUACUUUCAUAUCCAGGAAUUAAAGGGCCUCUCCAAGUAAAUCUUUGACCAUAACUUUGCACAUCCAUCAAGCAGCAGAGAUCAAUACACCUACUAAAUCGGAGACAUUUGGCCAUGUUAACUUCAACCCCCUUUGCUUCUCUUCCACACCCUUAAUAUCAUUCAAGUCUCCAAUAACCAACCAUUCCAGAUUCAUAGUCAUGGAAAUUCUCUCCAUAUCCUCCCAAAACUCAUGUUUUGCUUCCUCUCAUGGAAAGACAUAAGCAAUAGUAAGCAUCCAAGGCCUCUCAUUAGCAAACGACACCAUUAAAUGACAAAAUUGAGGAUUGUCCUUUACCACAUUCACCUUUACAGCCAUAUCUUUCCAACCAAUCCAAAUACCCCUAACAAAACCACAUCCCUCAAUAGUAAAAUACUCAUAAAACCCAAGUUUUAGAAAUAAAAUACUGGCAUUAUUUCUACUAACUCUAGUUUCAACAAGAGCUAGCAAAUCAAUUUUCUUUUCAUUAACAAUCAUCUGAACACCCCUUUCAAAACUCCUACUCCCUGCACCUCUGCAAUUCCAGACAAAAAACUUUUUAUCACUAAUCAUUAAAACAAUAAUUUAAUCAAUGGAAAGUUCUGCCUUAGAUCCUUCAGCAACAACAUUAACCUCAUCAUCAUUUGUAUUCAUAUCUAUAGUCUAAUAAGUUUCCAUCCAAACUAUAUUAUCAAGUGGUCUCAUACCAAUAGAACCCUCUAAUUGUGCACAUUUAGAGGGAAUCAUACUACUAACCACUAUAUUUUGAUCAAUCUCAGCUAAAGCAAUUCUAUUAUGAAUAGAAUCAAUAAUAUGACUUCCAAGAGAAACAAUAGCAUUUUCUUGGUCCUUCCUCAAAAGAGCUACAAGAAUUUCUUUUUGAGAAAUAGCUAUAGCCACACGUUCCUGUCUUGAUCUCCUUUCAUCAACAGAGAUUUGCUUUCCUCUAGAAAUAGAACUAUUAGCAUACUAAAUUAGCCCUUGUACAAACCAGUCUUCCUUAGCAUCCUCUAUCACAACCUUCUUCAAAGAUCUUUGGGACUGCCUAACCUUAGUACUCUUGUUACUAACAUUCAUAUCAACCCCAUUAAUAACUUCCACCUUAUCACUCUGUUCCCUACCCUCUCCCUCAUCCUCCUAAUAUAAACCUCUAAACCUAGAUACAUCAAGACCUCUUUGAUCAACCCUCCUUCUACCAAAUUCACCCCAGCUAGGUCUAUUCUGUCUUCAAAAAUCUCUAUGUUGAACUAGUGAUCAAGUUCUAAAAAAUCUCUCCUUUUUUAGCUCAGCAAUAGCUUCAUCAACCACUGGGUCACAAUAAGCUUGUCUAUGACCAUAAUCCUUCUCAACAUGACCAAAUUUCCCACAAUUAAAGUAGAGCAAAUGCAAACCUUCAUAUUCAAUUACAAAAUCCUCCCCUUCUAAAAGAAAUUUUGGCAGCAGAGCAGUAUCAGUCAAUUUGGACACAUGCUCUUGCAUAUUUUCCUUUAGUUAACAGAGAAGUGGAAACAUCAACCUUAACUAUCUUCCCAAUCCUAUUACCAACAACUUCUAGAAUAUCCUCAUCAUAAUAUUCUAAAGGUAAAUCAGGGAAAUGAAUCCAAACUAGUAAUUAAUCAAUCAUUAUAGUAACAAGAUCAAAGUUUAGAGUCCAUUAUCUAAUCACCAAAUAAUGAUCCAUCAUCAUCCAUGGACCACCCUUCACUACUCGAUCAAAGUCAUCAAUAUUUGAAAAACGAACCACAAAAAAAUCAUUCAUCAGAUCCAUAAUAGUGACUUCCCUAUCUUUUGCCCACAUUCUUGAAAUAAACUCCUCCAUCCUCUUAAGACCAGCUCUAAAACCAAUCAGCUUAACCACAAGAGUGUGCUCAAAAGGUUUUCGGAUAUGCUCCUUCUCCUCCUUAGAUAGAAUAAAUUCGGGGAUAAGCCAAUUACCUUUUUGAUUCUCAACAAUCUAAACUCCAACCUUUCGCUUCUCCUUGAUUUCAGGUCCCUCGCUUUCAGCAUUCCCUAUUGAAACACCCUUUACCAUCUGACUAAAGGAUUUCUUGCCAAAGCCACCAUUUCCAGAGCUAUAAAUCAACCUUGUAUUUGUAAAAUCCCCCUCAUUAGUUGAAACGCCCUUGAUUUUCUUUGUGCUCCACUAAAGAAGAUCAUCUUCUUCAAGAGAUUUUCAACCAUUGCCUAGCACAGGGAAGUCCGUCAACAAGAGCAUUUUACAAGCCAUUGAUCAAGCAUUUGUGAUUUGGGAAUGUACAGAUAUUCCAAACAUAUCUGGUGGCUAUUGGAUUGAGUAUUGGCAUGGCGAACUCAUUUUAUUAUUCAUACCAUGCCUUGAUAAGGAAAGACUUCAAUUUACUUUUCAUGUUGGAGAUAUUAAUUUUAGGGAGAAGGGAAGAAAGUUAGAAACAAAGAAGUGUGGGUGGCGUGUAGCAUGUGAAGAAGAUGUUGAAGCAUUGCGAAGAACAGGAAGUGAAGGAAGUAGUAGUAGUGAUGAUCCAGAAAGCUACCACAGUGUCAAUGAAGAUGAUGUGGACAUCCAAUCACCUCUUCCAAAACGCCAACAAUUGGGAUUCAAGUCCUACAAAUGAAGGUUGAAGUCAUAAUUUGAAAAAAAAAAAAAAAACAAGAAGUAAAGUCCGCGCAAUGACAUUUGUUGAGAAAACUUGUAUUAUUAAUUUUAAAUAAUUUGAUCUUUAUGAUUAUAUUUUUGUUGAUAUUAUGUUGCCCACGUGAGGGGCAAUUUGUUUUCGUUAAUAAAGAUGAUGUAGGCAUCCAAUCACCUCUCGCCAAAUGCCAAAAAUUGGAAUAAAUGAUUCAUCGUGUGCACAUCAAUAUUAUUUUUUAUUACAUA